UGUGGCUACCCUAGAACCUGUCAGCCAUAGCAAUACCAGUUAAUCCACUAGGAAUCAGAUGCAAAGUUAGGAUAAUACAGCCAUAAUGAGAGGCCAGAAGAGUCCUUUUGUUAUUCAGAAAACAGGAAAUGUAUGCAGCAAGUAGAAUGACCUUUAGAAUUCAUUGGAAGAAAAUCAAAUGCUUGCCACUUCUACCAGCAUUCAUUACAUUGAGGAAUUAUUCAUUGGAUGAUGAAUAAUCUCUCCCUGAUGUAGGCAUCACUGGGAACACAAGACAACAUGGGGAGAGCUGCACUAAUAUUCCCCGCUGGGCAGAUAUCAUCCCUGAAGAUUAAGAUCCUAAUGACAGACUGCCCUGAGGCCCCAGCCAAGGACUCUUCACACCUGUGUAAGGUCCGCUGGGCAACCUAAGAAGGCAGGGCCCUAUCUGGUUCCAUAAUCAAAGAUCAUGAGUUCUGUAGGAGUUUGGAGAGACAAGCCCAUCCUGAGAGCACAUGAGCAAGUGAUACCUGAGCUGGUUACUGAAGAAAGGUCUAGAGAAGAGGGAAGAAGGAUGUACCAGGUGGAAGAGGCUCUAUAAGCAAAGAUCUGAGCUGGUAAUUGCACAUGGGAACACAGCGUGGUCUCAGCAAGCUGCAGGGAAGACAAUCUAAAUAGAUGUUGUCAGAAACAAGGUUAAAGUUGAGUGGGGACCAUACAAAGGGGUUUUGGCAUUAAACUGUGUUUGAAGAAUUCAACUUUCCUGAAACAUAUAAUUGGCUUUGACAUACAAGUACUCAUUACAUGAAGGGAAAAGUGGAGCUUUUGGAAUAUUAUGUUGGUAAAGGUACAUGUAGAAGCCCAGGCAGACUGUGCGUA